AUUGAACGCUGGCGGCAUGCCUUACACAUGCAAGUCGAACGGUAACAGGUCUUCGGAUGCUGACGAGUGGCGAACGGGUGAGUAAUACAUCGGAACGUGCCUAGUAGUGGGGGAUAACUACUCGAAAGAGUGGCUAAUACCGCAUGAGAUCUACGGAUGAAAGCAGGGGAUCGCAAGACCUUGUGCUACUAGAGCGGCCGAUGGCAGAUUAGGUAGUUGGUGGGAUAAAAGCUUACCAAGCCGACGAUCUGUAGCUGGUCUGAGAGGACGAUCAGCCACACUGGGACUGAGACACGGCCCAGACUCCUACGGGAGGCAGCAGUGGGGAAUUUUGGACAAUGGGCGCAAGCCUGAUCCGGCAAUGCCGCGUGCAGGAUGAAGGCCUUCGGGUUGUAAACUGCUUUUGUACGGAACGAAAAGCCCCGGGUUAAUACCCUGGGGUCAUGACGGUACCGUGAGAAUAAGCACCGGCUAACUACGUGCCAGCCGCCGCUGUAA
rnacentral:rRNA from 1 species